UACGAAGGGGGCUAGCGUUGUUCGGAAUCACUGGGCGUAAAGCGCACGUAGGCGGAUCUUUAAGUCAGAGGUGAAAUCCCAAGGCUCAACCUUGGAACUGCCUUUGAUACUGGGGAUCUCGAGUCCGGGAGAGGUGAGCGGAACUGCGAGUGUAGAGGUGAAAAUUCGUAGGUAUUCGCAAGAACACCAGUGGCGAAGGCGGCUCACUGGCCCGGUACUGACGCUGAGGUGCGAAAGCGUGGGAGCAACAGGG
rnacentral:rRNA from 1 species